ACUCUAACCGUAGCCUAGGCCUUCACAGUAGCUCUGGACCUGUGGGAGAUUGCUCAGGAAGAUAAAAGUCAGAAGGCCAGGAGGACAUGCUGCUCGUGUUCUGUCAGUGAUGGACAGACAGAGACUACAAACACACACAGCGUCUCAGACUCAGAGAAGCAGCAGCCCCUGAGGAAGGAGGAGAAACAGAGACGGCCAUUUUUCUCCAUGUCAUUCAGCUCUCCUUCACCCAGUAACAAACCCGCCAGGAAACGACCAAUCAAACACGGCU